rnacentral:lncRNA from 1 species
GGUAACAUCACAGUAUAAAAUAUUAAUGCAUAAAUUCUCGUACACCAUAGAUUUAGUGAUAGUGAUAUUGAGAAAGAAAACUCUCAUCAUCUCUCAGCCAAUUACUGCUCUCUCACUUCCGUCCCAAACAAUUUCCUUUUAAUCUCUUCUUAAUUAUUACAAACUACUAGCACCCAAAGAAAUUCUUUCAAUUCCCAUUAAAGAAAAAAAAAACCAUAUCCUCCAAGAAGUGGAGCCAUGAGCUGUAAUUAGAAACUAAGGUGUAAGGAGGAUUGCAUCAAUUGUUGUCAAUGAAGGGAUUGAAACUAUAAUUUAAGUAAGCUUGAAGUAGUUACAUUCAAGCAAGCAAGUAAGGUAAGCCGUUUCCUCUGUGUUCAUAAAAAUAAGUAAGUAGAUAUGCGUAGAAUGAUAGAACUGUUGUGCUUGGGUUAUUAAAUGUCGUGAUGGGAUGUGGUAUUGAUUGUGUGGAGUAAUAAGGAUGGAAUUACAUGGUUGAACCGUGUACCAAUAUAUAUAAAAUCUGUCCUUUUAUGCAUUGUAGGCAAG